UACAGAUCCUUGGCACCCACUCCUGUUCCUUUCCACCUUAGUCAUUGUUCCUGUUGUUGUGACAAAAGCAAUUGAAGGACUCCGGCCCAUAGGAAUGGUGCCUGCCACACACAUUUAGGAUGCAUGUCUCUGCUUUAUUUCAUCAAGACACUACCACACAGCUCAGUGUGGCAUCCUGGCAAGCCCUGUUCUCAGAGCAGUCUGACGCAGGCGUGGAUCCUGACAAGCUGGGUGAAGGUCCUGGGUCUGCCAUGGAGAGUCGUAUGGAGAAGUCAGCCAUCACCUGUGUGCCUCAGUUUACUCAGGUGCAAAAUAGGCACAGUAAUAGGAGUCCUCCUUGGUGGCGGUUGUACUCUGAAGUAAAGACUCGACAGCA